rnacentral:rRNA from 1 species
AUGGUCCCAUAUGUUCUUCAGUGUUGUUACAUAUCCGAAAAUUGUUUUGGCACCAUUGCUGGAAGUUUAGCUAUCAUGGAUCCCAGCUAUCAUGGAUUUUAUUGGAGCCCCGCUAUAAUGGAUUUUCCUAAAUUUUGGCGCACCAUGUCUGGAAGUUUAGCUACAAGGGGGAAAUUUUUUGAGGUAUGUACAACAUUUUGCUUGUAUGAAAAUAAUUUAUGCUUCCUUUUACGUACUGGAGACUACAAACUCUCAGUAUAUGGGCCUUGUUAUUGUGCAUUCAUCGAUUGCUUGUAUUAA